UGUAAGGACACUGCAGCAAGAGAACUGUAUUCAGCAGAGGCAGGAGGAAACUGUAGGAGAUGGGAAAGUGCCAUAAGAUCUGAGGAGACUUGCAUGCGUGAUUGGGGAACAGAGGAGUGGCAAGGCCAGAAAAGAACAUUAACACUUUUGGAAUGCUGCUGCUCAUGUCGUACAGGAAAUCAGCUUAUAUUCAAGUAGUGCUGGCACUUUGAUUGCUGUUUGUUCCUGGUUUACCUGCAGUGGGGAGAUAUUAGGAGGAAUAGGAAAGCGGUUCUGUAGGUAAGAAACAAGGAAAAGUUUUGUUGCUCAGAUAAGAGCAGCAAGUAUAAUUUCUUUUUCAUUUUUUUACAAUGUGUUUGUUCUCUGCUAAGAGUGAACCUCACACUUUUGGGUUUUAGCAGCUAUUUUGUUUAUUGACUUUGUCUGUCGGUAAUGUAGUUUUUGCAUUAAUAUUUUCAUGAGCAUGCUCUUGACGUUUUUAUUAAACGAUAAUGCAGUAAGACAGUGUUUAUAGAUCUCUGAACUUUAUUUUGUAUUUUUAGUUUAUGAAAAGUGGUUAAAUAUUUCCAAAAGAGUAUCUUAAUAUACAAAUAUACAUACGUUUGUGAAUUGUUAGUAAAAUCAGUACAUCACGACAACUUUUCUAAGGCCUUCAAAAUUUUGAUCUGCCUAAUAGUCACAGGAAUAACAUUAUUUUACAGGAA
rnacentral:lncRNA from 1 species